UGGGGAAUUUUGGACAAUGGGCGCAAGCCUGAUCCAGCCAUGCCGCGUGCGGGAAGAAGGCCUUCGGGUUGUAAACCGCUUUUGUCAGGGAAGAAAUCUUCUGAGUUAAUACCUCGGGAGGAUGACGGUACCUGAAGAAUAAGCACCGGCUAACUACGUGCCAGCAGCCGCGGUAAUACGUAGGGUGCAAGCGUUAAUCGGAAUUACUGGGCGUAAAGCGUGCGCAGGCGGUUUUGUAAGACAGAGGUGAAAUCCCCGGGCUCAACCUGGGAACUGCCUUUGUGACUGCAAGGCUUGAGUGCGGCAGAGGGGGAUGGAAUUCCGCGUGUAGCAGUGAAAUGCGUAGAUAUGCGGAGGAACACCGAUGGCGAAGGCAAUCCCCUGGGCCUGCACUGACGCUCAUGCACGAAAGCGUGGGGAGCAAACAGGAUUAGAUAGCCCUGGUAGUCCACGCCCUAAAACGAUGUCAACUGGUUGUUGGGAAGGUUCCUUCUCAGUAACGUAGCUAACGCGUGAAGUUGACCGCCUGGGGAGUACGGCCGCAAGGUUGAAACUCAAAUGAAUUGAC
rnacentral:rRNA from 1 species